rnacentral:rRNA from 1 species
UACGUAGGGUGCGAGCGUUGUCCGGAAUUAUUGGGCGUAAAGGGCUCGUAGGCGGUCUGUUGCGUCGGGAGUGAAAACUCAGGGCUUAACCCUGAGCCUGCUUCCGAUACGGGCAGACUAGAGGUAUGCAGGGGAGAACGGAAUUCCUGGUGUAGCGGUGAAACGCGCAGAUAUCAGGAGGAACACCGGUGGCGAAGGCGGGUCUCUGGGCAGUAACUGACGCUGAGGAACGAAAGCGUGGGUAGCGAACAGG